ensembl:lncRNA
CUGCGCGAGGACCAGUUCCACAUCAGUGUCAUCAGGGGCGGCCUCAGUAACAUGCUGUUCGAGUGCUCCCUGCCGGAGACCACGGCCACGGUCGGCGACGAGCCCCGGAAGGUGCUUCUGAGGCUGUACGGGGCGAUCCUGCAGAUGCACAGAUGGCGAAACUCCUGCCUGCAGAGUCACCCUGGCGGAAGCUCAGGAGCUCAAACAAGGUCUGAGGAGGCGUUUUCACUGUGGAGACAGCUGAUGGCCAAGAGGUCGCGUGAGCGCCCGCCCUGUAACCCGAUGCUUUCCUUUCUGGUUCUGGGAAGGAGCCCGGCCCGGCAGAACCCGCGCACCUUUCCCAGAAGCGCGUCUGGCUGAUUUCCCGUACCCAGUUUGCUCACUUAUCAUGAAUUGUGGAAGACACAAAUGUCAGCCUGCCCAUGCGAUCGUGCCUGGAGCACUCUGGUUUCCAGGUGGCAGACACGGUUCACGUAGAAAAUGGCAGACCUCUGGUAAUUCUGGAGACGUACGGGCCUCAACCGACCCCAGCUGGAACGCGUGGGCUCUCCCCCUUCUGCCGCCCCGUGCGUCUAGGUCAGAGCUGGAGAUGGACUUUGUCCUUUGUCCCUGCCCGGCAGUGCCGCCGUGGCCGGGAGGCGUGCCGAGCUCAGGAGCAAGGGCGGCUCGCCAGAGAGCACGCCUGCAGGUCGGCCUGCGGCCUCUGCGCGGGCAUCGUGGGGCCCCUCCGCGGGCUGCCCUGGAGCAGAGAGCAGUUCCCAGAGGAUCCUGCCGCCUCUGUCACCUGUGCUUGCACCGCUGGUCACGAAGUGCUUCAAAAAUCUGUGGAAAUGCAAUUAAAUACGUUUGUUUGUGCACAAAACAUUUUUGAAAUUCAUGCAUAAUUUUUCCAUAAUACACGUUUCUCUGUGAACUCUUUGAAGACCUCGUGCAGUCUGCAGCCUUUGGAAGUGCUAGCCCCGUCUCCUGUCAUCAGGAAAGAGGGAAUCGCUGUGGGAUGUUCUCAGGGGUGAUUGGAGGUGCUCUCAGGAAUUACCACACAGCACCAGAAAUCACUCGUCUGCUCAAAACUCUAAAAAAGAGAGAGAGAGAGAAAGAGAUCAUGACUGGCUCCCUCCCCAAAUUCGGCUGCAGCCAGGGCUGGGCCAGGUCGAAGCCGGGAGCCGGAACUCUGUCUGGGUCUUCCCAAGCACUUAGGCCAUCCUUCCAGAGAGAACGAUGAAGGAUCCCUUGAGUUCUUUCCUGGUGCAGCAGGGUGGAGGGCGGGGGGAGAGCGUGCCGUCCAUGUCUCUGUACAGCACUCUGGCCCACUGCUGGUUUCACAGCACCGCUACAUUCAGCAUGGUGUCUGUGUCUCCACCACGUUGUCUGUGAUUGAUAAUUUGACUUACAUGGCAUUUCCAGCCUGCCAGGCCGUGCUUCGUAGCUGAUGCACACCUUGUCCAGACCGUGCCCGGGGCAGCUCUUGCAGCAGUGGGCGGUCAGGGAUGCUUUGAAGGUAGAUGUCUUAGCUAAGAAAAUGCUCUCAGUGACAUCUGACAGCUCUGUGCCACUCCACCGGUUUGUUUCUGUCCACACACCUGCAUUUAUAUGCGGACUCGGGGGAGUCAGGUGCUGGUUUGUGUCACGCACAAAGGAGGUUUAAUGAAGCGGUUUAGCCGUCAACUCGCCUCCUUCUUCAUCAGAGGGGUCUCCAGCAGAGCUGACCGCAUAGCCAGAGAAUGAGCCUGAUGUGUCAAAGAGCAUUAGAUGACUGAAAGUAGAAACUUCCUGAAUUCCAAGAUUAUGUAACGAAAUGUAGCUGUCCCCUUAUCCUGGGUGCUAAGGCUGUCCCGCCGCUUGAUCAAAGCGUGAAGGGAACAGUUUGAAAGCACCCUCUAAUGC